AUCUGUUAAUGAAGGGCAAUCUAUUACCAACGAUCCAUUGUGAUCAAUGAUCAUCAUCCUCUACCUGAUCAACCUAAUUAUCCUCUUCCUCACCAACCGAUCAUUAUCCUCUUCUUCAUCAACCUUUACCUCAUCUUUAUCCUAUAUAUCGUUGAGUCUAUAUUUUACUGAUUUUUGAUAGCUCAACAUCAUUCUCUUAUGUACAUGUUAUAACAAAAACAAAUGGCUCACGAUAUUGCUAAAGAGUAAAAAAAAAAUGUUCAACCGCUUAUGCAUGAAAUGCAUUGUGCUUAAUCAAAACAUGGCUUUUAACAGUAAUCAAAACAUGGUUUUAAUGACCCGUCUCCAUGGAGCGGUGGUUACCGAAGCUUCCUCAGCCUUCUAUCUACAAACCCACCCAACUUUAGACCCGUCGUCACCCAUCU